rnacentral:rRNA from 1 species
GAUGAACGCUAGCUACAGGCUUAACACAUGCAAGUCGAGGGGAAACGGCAUUAAGUGCUUGCACUUUUUGGACGUCGACCGGCGCACGGGUGAGUAACGCGUAUCCAACCUUCCCAUGACUAAGGGAUAACCUGCCGAAAGGCAGACUAAUACCUUAUGGUCUUCACUGACGGCAUCAGAUGUGAAGUAAAGAUUUAUCGGUUAUGGAUGGGGAUGCGUCUGAUUAGCUUGUUGGCGGGGUAACGGCCCACCAAGGCAACGAUCAGUAGGGGUUCUGAGAGGAAGGUCCCCCACAUUGGAACUGAGACACGGUCCAAACUCCUACGGGAGGCAGCAGUGAGGAAUAUUGGUCAAUGGGCGAGAGCCUGAACCAGCCAAGUAGCGUGCAGGAUGACGGCCCUAUGGGUUGUAAACUGCUUUUGUAUGGGGAUAAAGUCAAUCACGUGUGAUUGUUUGCAGGUACCAUACGAAUAAGGACCGGCUAAUUCCGUGCCAGCAGCCGCGGUAAUACGGAAGGUCCGGGCGUUAUCCGGAUUUAUUGGGUUUAAAGGGAGCGUAGGCUGGAGAUUAAGUGUGUUGUGAAAUGUAGACGCUCAACGUCUGACUUGCAGCGCAUACUGGUUUCCUUGAGUACGCACAACGUUGGCGGAAUUCGUCGUGUAGCGGUGAAAUGCUUAGAUAUGACGAAGAACUCCGAUUGCGAAGGCAGCUGACGGGAGUGCAACUGACGCUGAAGCUCGAAGGUGCGGGUAUCGAACAGG